GACGAACGCUGGCGGCAUGCCUAACACAUGCAAGUCGAACGAGACCUUCGGGUCUAUGGGCGCACGGGUGCGUAACGCGUGGGAACCUUCCCUUAUGUUCGGAAUAACUCCCCGAAAGGGGUGCUAAUACCGGAUAAUGUCUUCUGACCAAAGAUUUAUCGCCUUUGGAUGGGCCCGCGUUGGAUUAGCUAGUUGGUAGGGUAAAAGCCUACCAAGGCGACGAUCCAUAGCUGGUAUGAGAGGAGGAUCAGCCACACUGGGACUGAGACACGGCCCAGAAUCCUACGCAAGGCAGCAGUGGGGAAUAUUGGACAAUGGGCGAAAGCCUGAUACAGCAAUGCCGCGUGAGUGAUGAAGGCCGUAGGGUUGUAAAGCUCUUUUACCCGGGAUGAUAAUGACAGUACCGGGAGAAUAAGCUCCGGCUAACUACGUG
rnacentral:rRNA from 1 species